rnacentral:lncRNA from 1 species
AAAUGAGAUCAAACCCAUCUAUUAACAAAAACCCUCUUUGGAUGCCCUAGAAUGCCAUUAUAGUCAAAUCCACCAAAUCCAUCUAUGAAAUGGGGAAAAUUCAUCUUAAUAGCAUGCUAGGGUUCCACUCCAACUAUUUUUAGAGAUAAAAAACCUAUCUCUAAAGAUCUACCAUGAGAGGGCACCAAGCUUACCUCUCCAAGCUCGCUCCAAUGGUGAGAAGAGGAUGAAGAGGUGGAGGAAGAUCUCCUUUUAGUCUUCUUCUCCUUCUUCUUCUCUUUCUUUCUUCUCUUUUCUUAUUUUUCUUUCUUUCCUUUUGCUUUCUUUCUUCUUUCUCCCCUUCACGAUCAGAGAGAGAGAGGAGGCGGUGGGAAAAUGAGGGGGGGAGAGAGAGAGAGAGAUACCUCUCUAAUAACCCCUCAUAUGGCCAUUUUGCACAUAAGCCCCUCCACUUUUCUAUCUCUCAACUUGCCCUUGCUGGGCAUUUUUCGCCCAGAGGGACCGGUCUCCCCGACCUGGGACCGGUCCCCGAGAGCUCCUCCCGAUGUCACGCGUUCGGGAAUGGGUCUCUCCCUGAGAGACCGGUCCCCGAGAGCUCGUCUCGCGGGACUUAGCCAUUUUUUGGCUCUUCUCGCUGGUGUCGCACACGCGGACCAGUCCCCCCUCUGCCAGGGACCGGUUGCAUCAGCCACCCUGCAACCACAAGCCGACGGGACCGGUCUCUCACUGCCAGAGACCGGUCCUCGUGAGCAAAACCUGCCAAAAGUGCGGAUUUGCAUCUUUUGCUCUCGCGGACGCCUUUCCAAUGCACUUCUUGGGUUUCGUGCAUCCUUAGCUUUUCCAAAGCUUACCAACUCGACCAUUAGUCGAUUCUGGACGAAGUGCAACUCUCGGAUUUCGAGAAUUCACAUUGUUACAUUUUCCCCUCCUUAAAAAGAGUUUCGUCUUCGAAACUCACUCAUUUCAAACCCCAAUCAUUCCUCGAUUCACUUUUCGAGUACUCAAGGGUUCCAAUACACUUUCGUACUCCGGAGUGGCCUUUUUCUCAUCGGAAUCAUCCAAAAGCCCACUACGGAAGAUGUGAGACUAAAUUCGCUCACAUUUUCCAAAUGUAAUUCUCAAAAGUGCAUUACGGCUUCACAAGCCUCGGUGGUAGUGUGAGUCAAUACUCAUGGCUCCACAUGCUCCAACACCACCAGCUACUCGGCUUAAGAAGGACUUGUUCCUUCGUAGUUCUACUGAACAUCAAUCUCCUUCGAGAUCAGGACUACCCUUUGUCCUUGUGGUGUGGACCUAGCAUGGUCGCAUCAGCUAGAUGGAUGAUCCACCACCAACACACUAAGUGCAUAGGUAGACCCUCUCGAAUUAUUCAAGCCCUCACAAAGUGGCACUUUACCACUUUGGCUAUUCGAGAGCCCGAUACAACUCUUCACAUUCCUCAUCACAUUGGGGAACACACUCCGAUUCGAUCUCCAGCAUUGCCUAGAAGCAAUAUCAUUGGUGCCUUGACCCAAUCGCGAUUGUUUCAAUCCCAAUCGAAUCUCUGCUCUCUCACGAGGUGGUACACUCCCACGCAUCUCUAAUCUCAAUCCUCUGGAGAGCAUUAUUCACAAAUUCUAGUCCUCACGUGGCUAUUUAUUAAUCAAGUGUCUCCUAGAGACCACUUUACUUUCUCUUUAUCCCUGAUACGGUAAGCCACGAUCAACUUCCAUUCGCUCUUGCAACGAAUUUAUACGAACCCGCCAUCCGGGGUUCAGGCCAAAACUCACUAACAGAGUUGUCGACCGCACCGACCGUCGGUUUGCACAGGUGGACCAAGGGCCACCAAUCCUACGCAGAUCUACUGCCUAGACUCGUCUCAACGAUGCCUAGCGUUUCUCGUUCACAAGCGCAGACCCAAUCGUCAUCGGGCGACAUUCUCAUUGGAGAAUUCGCACACACUCCAACCAGGAGCAACCAAGACCCCAAACCACGUCAAGUCCUCAGGUUGGGUCACUACACACUCGGUGUGUCAUCAAUCUCAUGAUCUAACACGUGGCAUUCCACGUACCCGGGUCCAAGCUCGGACUACCGUCCUGACCAAUACUCUGCCCUACCAAUAGGUACCGGGCCGCUGUCUCUCACAGCUGACUGUGCCUGCCCAAUAGGCCCAGGCCCCACAGUCCACAAAUGGUCCAGGCACGGGUCGUCCCCAAGCACUACCCUCCAACGUCGUCCUACACGACAUGCUCUACAGAGCUACACCCUCUAUCAGCUCCUAGGCACCUAGUGCGAGCCACCAGCCCCACGAGUGAUCCAUGGCCCGCUUCACACUUAGCCCUGCUAAAGUGCUACUGCUAAUACACUCAACCGGCUGAAUCGAAACCGCAUUCCACGAGUAACUACGCUUGAGCGUUCUACGCCCCUCCACAGCGUCUCACACGAAGUCUAGCAUCAGGCAACUUGCCUAUACCCGCCGACUACACGAGCACGACUCGCUUACCUCAAUUCGAGGUACAACUAGGCCCACAGGCCAAACUCGGCGCUAAUCAACCAAUUUCGCAACAGUGGUUCAUCCUCACUAUUCGAUCUACUGAAUCCGUAUCUGAAAUACUCUUGGAAUAUUCGGGUAUCCCCAAACACCAAGACUCAACUCUCACAAUCCCUUAUCAUUGCUUCGAGAGUCAUUUACUAGGUCACGUUUGCCACGAGUCCCAUUUCUUAUCCAAGAAUCAUCACCAGCCAUUCGCUAGUGUCACUUGGCUUUCUACCUGCUCCAGCAGGCGCUAUACUCUCACAAUGCAAGCAUGCUCGGGUGUCCACCUACCCGACCACUCGGUCCCUACUAUGCAAUGUAAUAAUAGUAACAACUGACCAAUGAUGAAUGUAUGCCAUGCACCAACUUGAGAUCAUGCAAAAGUAUAUGAUUACUCGAUUAACUCAUACCUGCCAUGACGUCGUCAGCGACGGCAGGCCCCGCAACUCGGGUCGCUUAUCCAUGGCCACUUGGGGCUCGCCGCGAACCCUCUGGUUGCAUCGUCCUCAACGGCUGCUCCCCCGACCAUACCGCAGGUGGCACACCUGCAGGUUGUCCCGGAGAGGAAUAGGCCGUCGUCAGCGUCAAGGCCCGACUAUCACCUUGCGAACACUCGUCCCGCAUAUGGCCCGGCAGCCCACACUUGAAGCACUUGCCCUCUCGCUGCUCACACUGCUGUGGGAAAUGAGGGCCCCCACAAACUGCACAUCUCACCGAGGACUGAAUGUGAUACGUUCCCGGAGCUCGAGAUCGAGAGCGCGAACUCACUGAGGUCUGUUGGGAACUUGACUGACCAUCAUGUUCACUCGUUGGUCGUCCUUUCCCCUUUUCCUUGUGAUAGGCCUCGCGCCUCUCCCGCAGAGAUGCCUCGCCUUGUUCUAUCCACAAGGCCCGAUCUAGGACUUCCACAAAAGUCUGCAACUUAAGCAUCAGCACAGGAUUAUAAAGAUCCGGCCGAAGUCCACGCACAAAGCAGUCGGCCUUAUCCUUAUCAUCCCGUACUACGUCUGAGACACAAUGCACGAGACGAGAAAAUUUUCGCUUGUAUUGCCUGACUGAGCGACCUCCUUGCCGGAGCUUCCGGAACCUUUUCUGAAGCUUCCGUUUCUCACUAUCGGGAAAGUAAGCAGAGAACAACAAUCCCCGAAAUUCUUCCCCCGCCAUAGGAGGGAGACUAAGCGAUCGAUCUCGUUUGUCGCCUUUCCACCACACCUUCGCCGAUUGUUUCAGAUAGUGCACGGCUAGGUUUGCCUUGUCUCGCUCCAACGUGUACAGAUUCUCGAAGAGUGUUUCUAUGGAAUCGAUCCACAUCUCAAUGACCCACGGAUCUACAUCCUCUCCAUCAAAGGUAGGCGGAUCAAAUUUCUUGAAAGUCAUGAGGGCCGCUAGAGCUCGGUCCCUCUUCGCCACUACCUCUGGACCAACAGAAGUCGGGUCGCCCGACCCCGACGGAAACGCCUCCGCUGCAACUCCUGGCUGUCCUCGACCAGCCGCGGCUGGUGCUGCCACCAGCUGAUCUACAGCCGAUUGAUUGUAAGAAUCGCACGGUUACUUUUAGAGAACCUGGGCAGACCGAGGUGGUAUUUUGUGGAUGCCGGAGUUCGCUGUUUGCGAUGACAAUCAGCUCGUCUCGAGCUAGGCAGCUGAUUAGUAGAGAUUGUGUAGCCUAUUUAGCUAGUGUUGUGCUGAGGGGCGAAGAUGACGCCCCUAGGAUUGAGGAUAUUCCGGUGGUGCGGGAGUUUCAGGAUGUGUUUCCAGCUGAGCUACCGGGUAUGCCCCCUGAUAGGGAGAUUGAGUUUGUGGUAGAUCUCGUCCCUGGGACUACCCCAAUCUCAAAGGCUCCCUAUAGGAUGGCACCGGCGGAGCUGAGGGAGCUGAGGGCACAGCUGCAGGAUUUGUUGGACAAAGGCUUCAUUCGACCGAGUGUUUCACCUUGGGGAGCACCCGUUUUGUUCGUCAAGAAGAAAGACGGAUCACUUCGCCUUUGCGUGGAUUAUCGUGAACUUAAUAAAGUCACGAUCAAGAACAAGUAUCCGUUGCCGAGGAUCGAUGACUUGUUUGAUCAGCUUGGAUCAUGUGGUGUAUUCGCAACGAUAGAACUUGCAGUCGGGAUAUCCACCAGUUGAUAGAUUAAACCGAGACGUAUCAAAGACGGUCUUUUAGAACGCGGUAUGGACAUUAUGAGUUAACAGUUAUUGCCGUUUGGCUUACUAAUGCCCCGGAGGCUUUUAGUGGACGAUACCCGUGGUUUUAUAAGGCCUUAUCUAGACAGGUUGCGUUCGCUGGUGUUCAUCGACGACUAUUUUGUCUACUCUCGAGUGAAUGCCAGAUCACGGAACUUGAGAUUGUAACUCCAGUACUUCGGGAAAAGACUUUAUUGCCAAGUUGAAGAAAUCGUGAGUUUUGGCUUCCAAGAGGUAGCUCUCUUGGACAUCGAUUUUCGGGAUCGGGUAUGCCGUGGAUCCCAAGAAGAUCGCAAGCAAUUCAAGGAUUGGCCGACGACCGACGAGGCGUCACAGGAGAUACGGAGCUUCUUGAGUUGGCGGUUACUACCGGAGGUUCGUUAGUGGAUUUGCAAGGUUAUCUACCCCUCACGAGGCUCUACGCACAAAGGUGUUAAGUUCAUUUGGAAUGACGCGUUGGAGCGACAGCCUCCAAGAGUUGAAGCGCAGAGAUUGACGCUUGCCGCCAACUUGACCCACCAGUAGCACUGGAGCAGGGUAGCGUGGUUUAUAGCGAUGCUUGCGCUUAAGUGGUUGGGCUUGUAUUGAUGCAUGGAUUGAGCAAGGGAUCGCGUAUAGCUUUCUCGCAACUAAAGGAAAUAUGAAAGAACACCCUCGACGCAACGAAUUUGGAGUUGCGCGCUGUAAGUGUUCGCAUUGAAAUGUAUGGCGCUAGCACUAUCUUUAUGCGAGGAGCGGUCUGUGAAGUAUACACGGACUCACAAGAGCUUAAAGUACUGUUUACUCAGAAGGAUUGAACUCUGAGGCAGCGCCAGAUGGUUGAGGCUGCCAACUAAGAUAUGAUCUACGAUUCUUUACCACACGGGCAACGGCUAACGCGUGCGAGAUGGCUAAAGUAGGAAAUGCUGAUGGAAAACUUAGCGAUUGCAUGUUGUGACUGCAACCGCAGUUGUCGAGCAGAUGAAGCGGUUGAGUUGGAGAUAGUGAUCCUGACACGCCUAUUGAGUUGAUGCACAUUGGUGGUCACACUACUUGUUGGAAGGAAUUUCAAAGGAACAGGCAAAGGCUUUCCGAUGGGAGUUGAAAAGAUUAGAGGUAAAAAUGGUUGAUGGUUGCCACUUACCCGGGCGAUUUCCUUGUGGACGACCUGAGUGGUGUAAUGCGGCUUCGAGAGAGACUAUGUGUUCCGGCGGAUUCGGAAUUAAAGAAGAUAUUCUUCAGAAAGCGCACCGGCCAGCCCUAUAGCAUAAUCUGCGGUGCACCAAAAUGUAUAUGGGAUUUAAAAGUCUGCUCCUAAUUGGUGGCCUGGGAUGAAAUAGGAUGUGGCCGAGUUUGCUCGCUAGAUGCUUAAAUUGCCAACAGUAAAUGGCGCUUGAGCACCCGAGUUCCCAGCGAAAACUUCAAUUUGACCUAUUCCCGGUGUGAAGUGGGAGAGAUCACCAUGGAUUUUGUGACAGGAUUGCCACGCUAAGGCGGGCGAUACGACGCUAUUUGGGUGAUCGUGGAUGCUUGAGCGAAGUCGGCGCCUUCAUACUAAAAAAAAUAUUCAUAACGACUUGGACGUGGAGAAGCUCGCUACAAGUGUACCUUGUGAAUUGUGCGCACUCAUGGAGUGCCUACCGACUCGAUAGUUCUGAUCCGAGACAUCCCGGAUUGUGUCUUCACUUUUGGAGGAGUCUACAGGAUCGCCCGUAGGCACUCCCUGGACUUCAGUACAACAUUCCCACCGCAAGUGACUGGACAGUCGGACGCACAUUCAAGACUUUAGAGGAUAUGACUCGCGGGCUUGGUGUAAUUAGACUUCCAGGGAGGAUGGUACGCGCAUCUACCUAUGGCGCGUUAUUUGCUUAUAUAACAACAGUUAUCAUAAGGAUAAGCAUCAAGAUAGGCGCCCAGUUUCGCAGCACUUUUAUGGAACGGAAGUGCAGUAUCGCCACCUGAUCAUUGGAUGAAUCGGCGAGAGUUUGGACUCUAGCCUCUGAUCAGGUGCCACAGCGAACGCUGAGGAUAAGGUUCGACUAUUGCUCUGGGAGCGACUUUGAACGGCGCAUGAAGUUAACAGAGAGAGCUACGCGAAUCGACCGACGGCUGGGAACUUUGGAGUUCCAAGUUGAAACCAUGUGUUCUUGAAGGUCUCGCUCGACCUAGAGCAACUCAAGACGAUUGCAGGAUUCGGGAAAGUUGAGCCCACUCAGUUUCACCUUGGAGGCCGUAUGAGAUCUUGAGCGUGGUAGGUUCGGUAGGCGUAUGACUUGCUCUACCACAGGAACCUACUCGGCGUACACAACCGUCUUCCAAAUGUAUCAGGUCCUCGGAAGCGUACAUUCAUCGAAUCAGCUCAAUCGUUUUUGGGAUGCGUCAGAUGGAGUUGCGACGUGAAGGCCAUCAUGAGCUUCGAGGAACAACACACUGGAAGAUUUUGGCUCGCGAAGUGAAGAACCUGCGGCAUCAGGGAUAUUCCCGUAUGUGAAGUGCUUUUGGAUCAAUACCAUCCGGGCGAGGCUGGGAGGCCGUGGCUAGAGAGUGCGCUGCCGGAGCGCUAUCUCCACAUCUUUUUCACGAUGGAGGCCCUUAGUAUGCUUAUUUGCUUUCGAGUUUCGCGGACGCGAAACUUCCCUUUUUAGCGAAGGGUAUGUAAUAUGCACUGGAUCUUAGCAAAAUUUGCAAGAUUACGAUUGUUUCUGAUCUGUGUGUGGAGCCUUUCCACAUUUUGUGGAGGCCGUCGUAUGAUCAGGUCCCGACCCCUGGCACCCUCCGCGCGAGAUGUUGGAGUGGGACUAGUGGCACCAAAAUUCCAAAUUCGAAAUUUGCUUGGACCAGGCUCUCGGGUACCUGGCAGCAGGGACUUGUACCAGGAACAAGACUAGGCCUUGUACUGGACAAGGGUUUGUGGGUCACCCCGUACCCCAGCCAUCUACGGCUUGUACCGGUACAAGAACCGCGACCUGCACCAACCACCAAUCGCGACCGCGAGCCUCGGGUUUGCAUUUUUUGUCGGCCUUGUACAGGUACAAGAGCCCGUGUACCGGUACACAAGAGGCAGUUUUAUUGUGGCAUAUAUGGUCUGCAAGCGGGUUUUUACGAGAUUGUAGCAAUACUAUACAGCACCCACAGCCCCUUAGGGCUUCUUUUGUGCUGGGACCAUGAGGAGAGAAGAAGGUGAGAGGAUGCCUAGUCUCUCACCUUUCUUUUGCACUUUUUACGUCCUUUGCUUGGUCUUAUUUGGGUUUCUCUCCUCUUUUUGGCAUCUUGGUCGCUUCUCCAACCAUAUGUUGAUGGCUAGAGCUUGAGAGGAGCUUGAUUGGCUGAGGAGAUCUCCCCACCACUUGGAUUGGAGCCUAAGUUUGAGCUUCUUGAGAGGUUAGAGAACUUGAUUUCUCCGUAUUAACUAUUUGAUCCUUGUAUAUUGAGGCUUUUUGUGAGAUGAAACCACUAGAAUUGAGGUUAUUAAGGGCUUAAUUUGGGUAUUCUUGCAAUCUAGGGCUCUUUGAAGGUACUAGAAUUGAUUGGAUUAGAGGCUCUCAUUAGGUUGGAUUGGAUGAUCCUAGCUUCAUUUUUGAAGUUUUAACGAGGAGAUUUUUCAACCUAGAGGAAUGAGUUUCCUCAUCCUAUGAUUGAUAUAAGAUUAAAUGUCUAUGAGCUAGCGUUUGGUUUGUUUGGCCGCAUAUGAUCACAUGUCUUCUGUACUCUCUAGGAUAUUAGAAGACUAAGAGGACAACCACAUCGUUGGACGCGCGACGAGGAAUUUCGUUGCCAUCGGUGGGUUUGCUUGCUUGAAAUCUGGAGGAAAUUUCCUCCUAAGUGUGUAAAUGCUUUCAUGCUCCUUAAAUUUCAUCAUGCAUAUUCCCAUUGUUUAGCUAUGCUAUUUAUAGAGUUUUUGAUGCUUAGCUAACUCAUAUUGUUGAUGCAACAAGAAAUUUACUCCUCAUCAUAGAGAUGAGAAGAGACAAUAGUGCUUUGUUUAAUAUGCAUGCAACGAAUAUCCCAUUGAAUGAUAGGAAAUCAAGAUUAUCCGCUUCGAAUUUUGACUUAGAACUCCUAAGUUCUUGAACUUAAGUUAUCCAUGUUGGGACAAAAUUGAGCCACUAGUGUCAUAAAGAGGCACUGGCCACUAGAGAAUUAUUAAACUGCAACAUAGAGACUUGCAUAUAGGCCCACAUUGACAUCAAAUAUAUUCCAUAUUUUGAGUAUAUGCAUGAAAUAGUGACUUGCCGGAGGACAUUUACUAUAUACCAGUUAUUAGACAUGCACGGACUUAUUGUACUUGCGACUAUUCGUUUGACCUACUUAUAUAGAAUAACUCAUAUAUGCUUGUGAGGCGUCUCUCCUAACAACGGCACUACAGAAAUGGCAUCCACAAGAAUACAUAUUAAGAAUAAGGUCGACUUGGGCGCCGAAAGUGAUUUGCCCUGGGAGAAGCUCCAUCCUAAGGGUGGGGAUGAUGACUACCACGGGGCCAUUAGGCUCGGCACCGGCCAGACAGCCUACGGGUGGGUCUCAGGGCCUUAGACAGCCUUCGGGUGGGUCUCUUCAGAUUUGACUUCGAGUAUUCAUGACGACUUAGAGUAUUACUUGGACAUUGACUAGAAUAGUAAACAUCGGCAUUGUACUAUUUCGCAUUGUGAACAUUAUGUUAGUUGGAGACUUUAUGCUAUAGUAAGUUAUAUUUUACUUACCGUCUAAUUAAUAUAUUGUUAGACACUGACCUCUUCUUGUAGCUUUUGGGCCUUGUGGCGCAGUUCACUGAAGUCAGUAAUUGCCCACUGGGAACUAUUUUUAAUAGUUCUCACGCCCCUGUUUCUAUGUUUCCUUUUCAGAGCCUUCGGCACCGGCGGAGGCACGGGAUCGCGGCAAGGGGAUCGCUUAGCUAGCUAGCGAGGAGUGAUACUUUGCCUAGGUGGUUACUCUUUCUUUCGUAUUUUGAGAGAGUGUGAGAGAUUUUGUAUCCAUGUGUAGAGACCACCUAUGUACUUACCUUUAGCACUUGUAUUUGGGAUCCCUAUUGUACUUACUUUAUGUUUUAUUUAGUGGAUUUACAGUUUUAACUUUAUCCCUUGUUGUAGCAAUUAGACAUCUGCUAUGCUCUGAUACUCCUAGAUGUAUCGUAUUAUUGCUUUUAUUAUUGUUGCUUUUAGACGCCUUAUAUGUUGUAGACAUAUGGCGGGUCUGGGCACGCGCCGGGCGGGCUUCCGCUGGGUCCCGGGGCGUGACACUAAGUUGGGCCGUGAGCUAAAUCGAGCAUUAGCGAGGAUGGAAAGAUGAUGAAAACAUGUUUGAAAACAUGUUUGGAGAGUCUCGGUUCGAUUUGAAAUGAAUCGGAGGUCAAACGGACGAAAACGAGCGAAAAUAGAGCGAAAACGGACGAAGCUGAAAAUUGGCUAAGUCUGGGCUGGAGGUCUCUCUGGGACCGGUCCCAGGCAGAGAGACCGGUCUCUCAGGGACCGGUCCCUCAUGCAGAGACCGGUCCCCGAACCCCGAAAAUGCCCAGUUCGGGCUGUUGCAAGAGAGGCAUUGUUGUGGGACUUAUAUGCAAUUGUUGCAUAGGUUAAGUGUAUAGAGAGGGUUAGAACACCUCUCUCUCUCUUUCCCUCACCGUUUCAACCCCAACACCAUCCCUCUCUCUCUCUUAACGAAAGAAGAAGAAGAGAAGAAGAAGAGGAAGGAGAAAUAAGAGAAGAAGAAGAAGAAGGAGAAGAAGAUCAAGAAGGAGAUCUUCAUCCUCUCCUUCGUCUUCCUCGUGCUUAGAGCGAACCUAGAGAGGUAAGCUUUGUUACCCUCUCAAGGUAGAUCUCUAGAGAUAGGUCUAAAUGCUCUAGAAGUGAGUUUAGUAGGCUCCUUUGAUGCUAGAUAGAUGUUUAUUGCAUAAAUCGGAGAUCGAUUUGGUGGUUUUUGCCGUAGUCGCAAACUAGGGCAUCAAAAAUGGGAUUUUUGUAAAUAGAUGGGUUUGAUCUCAAAUAACCCUAUGUAAACCUAAUUGAUAGGUAACGAAACACGUUGGCGAAGACGGUUCGGCAAUCCGAUGAGCCGUCAAAGAUAUUGAAGAAACGGACGCUUGGAGCUUCGUUUCUGCCUGGAGGGCCAAGGCGACGUCCAUAAAUCGUGAAAUCGGGUCCCGAGCAUUGUAACAGCGAGGCGAAGACCGUUAGCACUUGAAACGGCGAAGCGACGCGCUCUUGGAGAGCAACUGUGAGAUCGGGCCCAAACGGGUGCCGAGUGUCGCGGGAGGCCGAUUGCAAGUGACGACGAGCAAUCGGAACGCAAGUUAAGGUGGGUUGUGUUUACCGAAGCGACUAGGUCGCCCUUUAUGUCUAAGAUGAUUAAGAAUCUAUGUUGAUGCAUAUGAAUGUAAAUGCGGCAUAUAGAUGAUGCAUAUAAAUGUAAAUAAAGCAUGUGGUUGAUUCAUGUAGUUAAUGCAUGUUAAUAAUAUGAUGUAAAUGCUAAGUAGAUCCAUGUAAAAUGAUAUGAUAUAGAAUACAUGCUAGUGAUAAUGCAAAUGAUAUGUAUGUGUGCAUUGGAAUGUAUGCUAGGUGCAUGUAACAUCAUGUGAGCAUGUUAGAUAAGAUGCAUGUGCAUAUGGACUUGAUAUGACAAGUAGGAUAUCAAGUAGAUCGAGUGGCAUUAACCUAGUGUUAACAAACAUAGGUCGAAUAUAGAUGACAUUGAAUCUAGCGUUGUUGAACCUAGGAUAAAUAACGAGUGGCAUCUAACCUAGUGUUAAAGAACAUAGGUCGAGUAUGAACCUAAAGUCGGGAUCUAGGUGUGUGGCAUCUAACCUAGUGUUAAAGAACAUAGGUUGAGAACUGAACCUAGAGUUAAGGUAAACCUAGGUUGUGAAAUUGAGACAUUAGACCUAGAGUCAGUUGGACCUAGGGUGGAAAGUGCAUUGGGCCUAGAUAGGUCAAUAGUAUAAGGUUGGAUAUGGACCCUUGACUUAUGAAGACGAUUCCGGAAUCCCAGUACUUGUGAACUCAAAGUUCUUGGACCGCGGGUGUAUGCGGCGAUGUUCCUCUCCCACCGGAAGAACUUUGAGGAUUAUGACUAAGCAAGAAUAAAGAGCGCUAGGGUGUACGCGGCAUGUUCCUUUCCCUAUCGGGGAUUUUGGCUAUGGGUGUAUGCGGCAUGUUUCCUCUCCCUUUGGCGGAUCCCUGACCACGGUGCACGGACCUUCGGGCGAACCAUUGGGCGAUGUGGUUCUUGGCUUGCAGGCUGAGGUGCAUGCGACAGGGUCCUUCACCUCGAGCCGGGCAGAACGCGGCUUAUCCGCAGUUGAUUGACUCGAGGCUGAGUUGGGUGGCUAGCUGGAAUAAGGUAGAUAGAACCUUGAGGGCUAGUGGUAAAUGUGUAAACCUAAGGUAGUAGAAACCUUAGAGUUGGAUGACAUGAGCUAAGAUUAGCGAGAUUGAUUGUAGAAUUAAUAAUUCUACUAGUUGUUGCAUAUAUUCCUGUUGCAUAUAGCAUGGCAUCAUUACAGUUGUGAGGCAAAGCGAGGUAAAGUUAGUUGCAUGUUUAUGAUAUACAUAUCUAUCUGUUUAUUGGACUAACUUGUAUUUGCCUCCCUUGGACCUGUUGGUCGAGCUCCUCCCUUGGGUGGCCGUACCCACUGGGAAACAUGGAGUUGGUUCUUACCCCACGUUGUUUUGGGGUUUUACAGGUUCGCACGUGAGCGGUGCGGCGGCACGAGGCAAGGGCGUAGCUCCGUAGAUAGCGCCCUACCUCCAUAGACCAGAGCUAGCAGUACCCCGUCGACGUAGCUUAGGGGUAUAGAAAAUGAAAGGAACAAAAUGUAUUUACCUUGUAAUAUCUAUGAUGUAAUAACUUAAUUGCUUUGGAAGUUGAAUGUAAUAUAUAAGGUGCGAUGUAAAUAAAUGAACCUAAUGUGAAUGUAUGUAAUAACAUAGGAUGUGUUAUGUUGUGAUACUUUCCUUACGCAAUCAUGAUUGAUAUCUGUUCCUGGUUGGAACCAUUGUAAUGUACAUUGUUUGGAUUGCGACGCCUAGAACGUACAGGGGAGACUCUGUCCGCAUACAGGGGAAACCCCGGUCCGUUCGGCGGUCUGUCGUCGGCGCCGUGACCCGGUCCAAAUUGGCGGUUGGUCGCGUGGCGUGACAGAUAUUGGUCACGGGGCGUGACACCUAUGCUGUCGACCUAGAACAUCCUAGUGUCUAAUACCACUAUGCUCAACAACCUAAGUUCAAUACCACUCUAGGUUUACCACACAUCAUGACCUAGGUCUUAACACUCUAGGUCCUAUGUCUCUGUCCCAUAACCUAGGUACAAUCGCUAGGUUCUACAUCAUCUCUUCCUAGAUGUCAACUUCUAGGUUCACUUGUUCGACCUAUAUUUACUAACACUAGGUUCAAUGCCACCCACCUAGAUUGUUUGACUCUAGGUUUACCUGUUCAACCUAUGUUCUUUAACACUAGGUUAGAUGCCACUCGAUCUACUUGACAUCCUAGUUGUCCAAUCGAGUAUUCUAUUGUUCUCAUGUCAAUCAACUCUACAUUUUUAGAGUUAUAAUCUAGUUCACAUGCAUGUAUAUAUAGUCAUGCUACUCAUGCACUCAUGCGAUCCUCUAGCAUUAAUACAUCAUGUUCGUCAUGCAUUCUACUUAGCAUUUUAAUAUAUGCAUUAUCAUUAACAUGCACCAUUUAGCAUUGUCUACAUGUAUCAACAUGAAAACGUUUGUUUCUUUGACAUAAAGGGCGACCUAGUCGCUUUGGUAAGCACAACCCACCUUAGCUCGCUUUUCGAUUGCUCGCCGACACUUGCAAUCGGCCUCCCGCGGCACUCGGCACCCAAUUUGGCCCGAUCUCGCAGUUGCGCUCCAACAGCGCGCCGCUUCGCCGUUUCAAGUGCUAAAGGUCUUCGGCACGAUAACACGGUGCUCGGGACUCAAUCUCGCGAUUUAUGGACGUCGCCUUGGCCCUCCAGGUAGAAACGAAGCUCCAAACGUUUGUUUCUUCAAUAACUUUGUAACGGCUCGUCGGAUUACCGAACCGUCUUCGCCAACGCGUUUCGUUACGUAACGAUUAGGUUUACGGAGAGUCAAAUGAGAUCAAACCCAUCUAUUAACAAAAACCCUCUUUUGAUGCCCUAGAAUGCCAUUAUAGUCAAAUCCACCAAAUCUAUCUAUGAAAUAGGGAAAAUCCAUCUUAAUAGCAUGCUAGGGUUCCACUCCAACCAUUUUUUAGAUAUCAAAAACCUAUCUCUAAAGAUCUAUCAUGAGAGGGCACCAAGCUUACCUCUCUAAGCUCACUCCAAUGGUGAGAAGAGGAUGAAGAGAAUGAGGAAGAUCUCCUUCUAGUCUUCUUCUCCUUCUUCUUCUCUUUCUUUCUUCUCUUUUCUUCUUUUUCUUUCUUCCCUUUUCCUUUCUUUCUUUUUUCUCUCCUUCACGAUUAGAGAGAGAGAGAGGAGGCGUUGGGAGAGUGAGGGGAAGAGAGAGAGAGAGAUACCUCUCUAAUAACCCCUCAUAUGGUCAUUUUGCACAUAAGCCUCUCCACUUUUUCAUCUCUCAACUUGCUCUUACUGGCAUUUUUCGCCCAGAGAGACCGGUCUCCCCGACCUUGGACCGGUCCCGAAGAGCUCCCCCCCGAUGUCACGCGUUCAGGAACCGGUUUGUCCCUGAGAGACCCGUCCCCCGGAGACCGGUGUCACGCCCCGGGGACGGCAGAGGCCCUCCCGGGAGCGCGCCCAGACCCGCCAUAUGUCAACACAUAUAAGGCGUCU